rnacentral:rRNA from 1 species
CGAACUGAUUAGAAGCUUGCUUCUAUGACGUUAGCGGCGGACGGGUGAGUAACACGUGGGCAACCUGCCUGUAAGACUGGGAUAACUUCGGGAAACCGAAGCUAAUACCGGAUAGGAUCUUCUCCUUCAUGGGAGAUGAUUGAAAGAUGGUUUCGGCUACCACUUACAGAUGGGCCCGCGGUGCAUUAGCUAGUUGGUGAGGUAGCGGCUCACCAAGGCAACGAUGCAUAGCCGACCUGAGAGGGUGAUCGGCCACACUGGGACUGAGACACGGCCCAGACUCCUACGGGAGGCAGCAGUAGGGAAUCUUCCGCAAUGGACGAAAGUCUGACAGAGCAACGCCGCGUGAGUGAUGAAGGCUUUCGGGUCGUAAAACUCUGUUGUUAGGGAAGAACAAGUACAAGAGUAACUGCUUGUACCUUGACGGUACCUAACCAGAAAGCCACGGCUAACUACGUGCCAGCAGCCGCGGUAAUGCGUAGGUGGCAAGCGUUAUCCGGAAUUAUUGGGCGUAAAGCGCGCGCAGGCGGUUUCUCAUGUCUGAUGUGAAAGCCCACGGCUCAACCGUGGAGGGUCAUUGGAAACUGGGGAACUUGAGUGCAGAAGAGAAAAGCGGAAUUCCACGUGUAGCGGUGAAAUGCGUAGAGAUGUGGAGGAACACCAGUGGCGAAGGCGGCUUUUUGGUCUGUAACUGACGCUGAGGCGCGAAAGCGUGGGGAGCAAACAGGAUUAGAUACCCUGGUAGUCCACGCCGUAAACGAUGAGUGCUAAGUGUUAGAGGGUUUCCGCCCUUUAGUGCUG